rnacentral:rRNA from 1 species
GAAGCUGCGGCAGCGACGCUUAUGCGUUGUUGGGUAGGGGAGCGUUCUGUAAGCCUGUGAAGGUGGCCUGUGAGGGUUGCUGGAGGUAUCAGAAGUGCGAAUGCUGACAUAAGUAACGAUAAAGCGGGUGAAAAGCCCGCUCGCCGGAAGACCAAGGGUUCCUGUCCAACGUUAAUCGGGGCAGGGUGAGUCGACCCCUAAGGCGAGGCCGAAAGGCGUAGUCGAUGGGAAACGGGUUAAUAUUCCCGUACUUGGUGUUACUGCGAAGGGGGGACGGAGAAGGCUAUGUUGGCCGGGCGACGGUUGUCCCGGUUUAAGCGUGUAGGUGUGUGUUCCAGGUAAAUCCGGUUCACUUUAACACUGAGGCGUGACGACGAGGCACUACGGUGCUGAAGCAACAAAUGCCCUGCUUCCAGGAAAAGCCUCUAAGCAUCAGGUAACAUCAAAUCGUACCCCAAACCGACACAGGUGGUCAGGUAGAGAAUACCAAGGCGCUUGAGAGAACUCGGGUGAAGGAACUAGGCAAAAUGGUGCCGUAACUUCGGGAGAAGGCACGCUGACACGUAGGUGAAGUGAUUUACUCAUGGAGCUGAAGUCAGUCGAAGAUACCAGCUGGCUGCAACUGUUUAUUAAAAACACAGCACUGUGCAAACACGAAAGUGGACGUAUACGGUGUGACGCCUGCCCGGUGCCGGAAGGUUAAUUGAUGGGGUCAGCGCAAGCGAAGCUCCUGAUCGAAGCCCCGGUAAACGGCGGCCGUAACUAUAACGGUCCUAAGGUAGCGAAAUUCCUUGUCGGGUAAGUUCCGACCUGCACGAAUGGCGUAAUGAUGGCCAGGCUGUCUCCACCCGAGACUCAGUGAAAUUGAACUCGCUGUGAAGAUGCAGUGUACCCGCGGCAAGACGGAAAGACCCCGUGAACCUUUACUAUAGCUUGACACUGAACAUUGAGCCUUGAUGUGUAGGAUAGGUGGGAGGCUUUGAAGUGUGGACGCCAGUCUGCAUGGAGCCGACCUUGAAAUACCACCCUUUAAUGUUUGAUGUUCUAACGUGGACCCGUAAUCCGGGUUGCGGACAGUGUCUGGUGGGUAGUUUGACUGGGGCGGUCUCCUCCUAAAGAGUAACGGAGGAGCACGAAGGUUGGCUAAUCCUGGUCGGACAUCAGGAGGUUAGUGCAAUGGCAUAAGCCAGCUUGACUGCGAGCGUGACGGCGCGAGCAGGUGCGAAAGCAGGUCAUAGUGAUCCGGUGGUUCUGAAUGGAAGGGCCAUCGCUCAACGGAUAAAAGGUACUCCGGGGAUAACAGGCUGAUACCGCCCAAGAGUUCAUAUCGACGGCGGUGUUUGGCACCUCGAUGUCGGCUCAUCACAUCCUGGGGCUGAAGUAGGUCCCAAGGGUAUGGCUGUUCGCCAUUUAAAGUGGUACGCGAGCUGGGUUUAGAACGUCGUGAGACAGUUCGGUCCCUAUCUGCCGUGGGCGCUGGAGAACUGAGGGGGGCUGCUCCUAGUACGAGAGGACCGGAGUGGACGCAUCACUGGUGUUCGGGUUGUCAUGCCAAUGGCACUGCCCGGUAGCUAAAUGCGGAAGAGAUAAGUGCUGAAAGCAUCUAAGCACGAAACUUGCCCCGAGAUGAGUUCUCCCUGAGACUUAGAGUCUCCUGAAGGAACGUUGAAGACGACGACGUUGAUAGGCCGGGUGUGUAAG